UGUACGCCUCCAGCCUGAGAGCAGAUCUUACCCUGCCCGCAGCUUUUUUUGCCAGAGGGAAGCAAAGCGUUACCUUCCCAGGUCCCUUCCCAUCAGCUCAGCAGAGCUUAGAACAGGAUUUGGGGAUCCUUUGAAGACUAUUCCUAACCACCCUAUGAAAACCCAAACCGUCUGAGGCUGGACUUUGGAUUGAUCAGUUCUUCAGUGGGAGUCUGUGUGUCCCUGCGAACAGUCGGACUGGCACAGCAGAGGGGUAGAAAGUAAUGUCAUGAGCUGAUGCAAUGAGACGAACUAGAGUUCAACUCCUGAAGACCGAAGACCCACGGUAGCCUGAAGACCCAGGAUAGCCCACUCGUGGUCACACAGAUCUUGGCGAGGAGCCCCCUCCGCAAGUCCAGCCCACCUUGCAGAAAGAGCUGCGAUGCAGAGACUUUGUGUACCUGACUUCAAAGGGAGAGCCGCAUCCUGAAGGUGAUGGGAAUGCAGGAAACGGUUUUAUGAAAUAAGAGACAUCGUUAUCUAACAAGGUGCGGGUUUCGCAGCGGUUUAGAUGAUUAAAGCACUGAAGCGCUCUCUCCCACGUGCGUGAUCGAGCGCCUACCGUGAGCUCCGUGUGCUGCUUCCUUGCCAGUGGGGAUACUGCAUUUGGGAUGGACCUUGACCUCUCCGAUAAACUUGGUGGCAACUCGCCAGCUGGCUUAAGCUAUUAGUCUGGGACCGGCGCACGCUUACAGAGUGAUCACACACAUUCCCUUAGGAAACUAGGCUAAAAAUGGCUGUAGGCGGUACCUUUCUACGUGAAGGGCUAUAGAGGAGCUCGCUGACAGCCAAAAGUUGCUCCCAGCUCAGUAAUCUCCCCCAGAAGCAUUUCAUCUGUCUGUGUCUGCGAGACAGUUGUAAUGAAUGCAACUGAGAACGGUUUGCCGGUGCUCGGAAAGAGAAAUAUUUAAGUAAUGCUGUCUAGCACAGACUUGGAGAGCUCGUGUGGGUGUGAAUAUAAUUUUCUUUUCCCUGAAGUCCCCACCCAUCUUUUCGAUGUAUAGCACAGAUGUGUUCCUAGGGCAUUUUAUGAUGGGUCUUGCCUCUCCAUGCUUUGCUUACUGGUGGGCACAUCGUAGUCUUGUUUUUCUUCUAAAUGUUUGGCUGGUUUUCAGUCUCAUGUACAGGGUGUUACAGGCAUGGUCUGUAAAGGUACAAGAAUAGAAAUUAUUUCAUCGGUAUGAGCCUGAGCGUCCUCUCUUAACACCAGCCACUGCUCUAAGAGUAGUAAAGCAGUCAGCGUUACACAGAGGUGAAACGAGUCAUCUGUUGCCAAUAAACUAGGAAGGAACAAAGAUGCCUCGGGGGGAGAGAACCAUUAUCUGCUGUUACCUAGAGAAACUCCUUUCAUAAUUGAAAAAUGUAUUAAAAAUUAUUUUGGGAAUUUCUAAUUAGUGGAGUUGAGCCACUAGUGUGCUCAGGAUGUUUCAGAAACUUAAACUAGUAACUGUCCCAAAAGAGGCCACCGCAGAGAAGUGUCUUUCCUGCCUUUUCCCUCUGCCACCACAAGCUACAAGGUCAGGGAGGAUGAAAACUUCUGUAGAAAUUGAGGUUGGGCAACAAAGGCGUUGUCUGUCAAUCCCUGGGGAGAUGUCUCCUUCUAACGGCGCCCAGCCCUACAUGGCUUUCAAGCCUACGAGCCAUUCAGCCGCCUAUGGAAGUUGGUGGUUUCUAGAUGCAAAUAUUUUGCUUUCUGUCCAGUUUGGGGUAUUCAAUGCUUUAUUUAUUUAUUUUUACAUGUGGCUGAAAUGAAAGGGUUCUGCAGCAACUCAUUGUGUUUGGGGGGAAAAAAAUAAAUCAUCUUUUAAUUGUUUCUACAGUCAGAGGGAAAACUAAACACUGGAGAAUUUGACAACACUUGCCUGACUGUUUUGGCUCUUUGUUGAUGGAGAACAGCGGAGCUAAUUCCUUCACAUUCCUACAGGGAAGGAUCAGAAGGGGUUUAGUGCCGUAAUAAUUAAUGCUGUGGAAAAAGCCUACAGGAAAAUUGCUGAGCACGGUAACUGCUGCAGGGCUGGGGUGCAGUAACUAAGGGGUGAAUUGGCUUUGGGGUGCAGAGCAAGGCAGAGGGCAGGGACAGCACCCUGGGCAGAUGAGACAGCCCCACGUGCCAUCCGUUGGUCACUGUGCACAGAAAAACAGGAAUGCUAGGGAUGCCAGAAAAAUGUGUUACGACUUAAAAUCAGAUGCACCAGCUCUAAUGCACUGUAACGUCUGAAGUGUUUUGUCUCAGUUUCCUCUAAUGUUUUGUUACCAGUAUCUUCCUUCACUUCCCAGUUCAGGCAAGCUCUUUUAUUUCAGGAAACUAUAAUGACCUGCCUUCCUGCCCUACUAGUCAUUAUCGCAGCAGGAAUCUGAAAUCCUUUAGCACCAGCACGGGGUGGUUUUUUUUUUUUAGGUAAGGCAGGAAUUAUUAGCUGGCACAGCCGGUUUGCUGCUGUUGUGUGUAGGUGGGUGAGCGGAGAGGUGACAGGAGAUGGGGUAGCGAUGCACAGCUUCAGUUCAUAAUGCAGAACCGUGAGACAUCAGACACAGGUCCUCUUCAGUCUGAUCGGAACUGAGAAGAAAACAUGGUAAUUUUUCAUUUUGCUAUAAAAUAGGUGAGUGGAAAAUACCUGUUCCCUGCUAAGGAUGAAAGAUGGUUAGAAGCAGAGUGUGGUUAAGUUCUGCCGUGCUUCAGAAAAGGGAUGUUUUGCCUCUGAUUUGCACUUUCGAUGAAUCUGGAUGGAUUUCCAUGGGGACAACAAACAGUACCUCCUUCCCCUCUCUUCCACUCCAGCCAAGGGAGUUAAACUGUGAUGUGGUUUCACAUAAGCUUUUCCAAAAUGAUGUUCAUACGCCAUUUUACGGAACAGUAUGACUAAUUAGUGCAAGCACAUGGUCCGCUACAAACAAUUGGUUGUUUUUAGCCCAUGUGUUGUGGCUGUGCUUUACUGCAGUCCAAAACAACUGGAGUUUAAGAAAACCUGGAGGGCCUGGUUGGAAAAUGUGGCUCAGCUUAACUCCGCAACAUUUGGGACGGGAGUGGAUGAGGCCACACAGCGUGGAGCAGACAAACCAUGGGGAAAACCAAAUAAGCAGGCAGCGUCGAGCCCUUGUAGCAACGUGAGUCCUCGCUCUCGUGUCUACGUGCUGUCAGCGGGGUGAGGACAUCGCCACAAUGGCAGGAGGAAUGCUUUGAUAUAUUAAUCCCAGAGUGAUGCAGAGCCAGUUCUUCAGCUGCUUCAGCUGAUGUAAUGCAUUGUUUUCACCGAAGCCAUCCUGAUUCCGUCUGGCUGAAGGACUGAAUAGUUCAGACUAUUAUUUUUGGACAGAUGUAAGGGCCGUAUUCCCAAAUUAAAUAUGUAUAUUGAUCUCUUGUCUGCGUUCCUCCCAAGCUCUGGGAAGAAAAGGUGGGGGGUGUGCAGGUCUCGUCACUGUAAUACACGAGCAUCCCGCAGUCUGGAAUGGGUUUUAUCCCUGUAGCACUUGAGGUAGGAAACGAAGAGUGUUUUUAGACUAGGUGGAAGAGAUGUAUGAUGUAUUUUCUUCUGAAAAUAGCCUGGCGCUCUCUUAACACUUUUAGCUUUUUUUACACGGCAAGAGAGGAAGCCAAAGGAGGAGAAACAGCCAGAUUUUGCAGCUCACUGCGGUGCUGUGGCAGGCUGGGAAUAGCAGAUAGGAGCGGAGAUAGCAAACGGCAGAGCAUAACGGGGCGUCUUUGUGAGCCAGGCGCGGCAAUCGGUUGCUAUUCAGCAGCUUGGGAUGGGUUUGGCUCCCCGCAACUACAGCUGCUGUGGAGCUGGCUUCGCUUUGCUUCGCGCUGAAACACUCUGAGCCGUGGCGUGUCUGCUGCUAAUUAGAUUAGGUCCACAGAGGUUGCGUUGAGCGAGUUCCCAUUUUUAGCCUGAAAUGGGCAGUUCUCAGCCAGCUCGGUGACAACGUGCAAAUUCCAGGUAAGUUCCCUGCUUGGCAGGAGAGCUUGCAGGAUUGCAGUGUUAGUCUGGGGGAAGGCUGGCUUACGUCCUCCAAACAGGAGCAUCAGUGGGGCCAGGAGCCCUUGCAGCAUCAGCCGUGAUGGAUAUUCACAUCCCAAAUUUACCGGCGGGGCAGAGAGCCCGCAGUGUUUGGGUUAAUGCUCGUUAAGGCAGACAUAUAGUGCUUACCACAGACUUAACGUACUUCACCCCGGCUACCCAAAAAUUAGGUUUGGAUGCAUGUCCAGAAUUUUGGCAAGAAACCUCUGAUUUCCAGACUACAAUUAUAUAUGGCUUGCUUAGCUGUAUGCUUUUGUGCUAACUUGGCUCCAAGCUUUACAUAACAUCAUCUUCAUUCCUUUCUCCAAAGCAGUUUAUAGAAAAGAGACGCUUUUGGCUAGACAAGCCAACCCCUUCUCAUCUCAGGAAAGUUCCUCCCGCUGCUUAUCCUAGGAGCUUUUAUCUCUACAGCUAUGCAAGUUUGAGUUUUUAAUGUGGAAAAGUAGACUUGCAGGCACCAUUUUAGGUAAGGUCUUGUGGAUGGUUGUGCAAUGGUAUAAAUACUUGCAUUGGUAGACCCUUACCUGAAGUGCUCUAACAUUGAAUGUAGUUCUUUGGUGUUUGUGAUGUGAUGGUGGCACACAACCAACCUGUGACCAGUUUAUGACCCCAGAACUUUCUCCUGUUCCCUCAUUUACAGUGGAUGACAUCAUGAAUUUAGUUCUUGAUGUGAUAUUUGCUGUCUGCUUAAUUUCUUUCUGCUUGUUUCUCAAGUCCUUAACCUCUUCCCAUUCUUGUACGACUUUAUCCUCCUUUAUUGGUGAUGCUUCAUAACCCUCUAUCAUCAGUGUAUUUCAUUAGUGCUGUCCUACUUGUGUCAGGCUGCUAAUGAAAAUAUUAAAUGAAAUCAACCCCAAGCUUAACCUUUGAAAAUCUCCCUCCAAGGGAAGAUUCUUCCUCAACCUUGAAUGGGAUCCAAUUCUGAGGUCUCGAGAUCCCCAAAGUGGUAUCUUCAGUGACCUGUGGAAAAACUUCCAGAUGAAAAACUCCCUCUCAUGACAUGCCAAGGUGACUAGAGGAGGCCAAUAAGUAUUUGAGGGGUUUUGGCAAGAUGAAGACAACAAAUAAGCCCUCUUCAGAAAAAAAAAAUCACAUCUUUGGUACAGCAAGUAAGUUGCUGUUGGUAAAAAGGGAACAAGAUAAUCAUCUGUUGCUGUUGUGGGAUAUUUUUUUUCCAGCCUUCCUAAAGCUUGGCUUGGAAACCCACCGCUUUAUGGACUGUAUUCUCCUUGGUCAACCCAAGCUCAUGGAUCUCUUUUUUGGACCACCUGGGAAGGCAGUUAUUAGUUCUGGCUUUGCCGUGAUGAGUCGCUGUGUAACUACAAGCCCCAGGCUAGACAGGAGGAAGCUAAGCGAGGUUCCCAGCGUGCCAGAGCUCCGCUGAUGCAAAUAGCGACUGUGCUGACUUGAAGAGAUGAAGCGACAGUAAUGAAUCUCAUCCGGACAAAAUCUGCAUGGACACUACCAGUCUCCUGAGCCCUGUCUUGAUGCUGCUCAAACGUGGCAACGACAUCUGAAAGCUUUUCCCAGGAGGUCUGAUUUGCUGAAGAGGAUCAUCUUGGGCUCCUUAGGAGGUCUAAUAAAGUACAAGCCCUUUACUUGCACCAGGGGUUUUUUCUGCAGUAUUUCAGUGCCAGCACAUACUUGUGUGUGAUGUAAUUUUUUUUCCAUUAAUAAAUCCACAGACCCUGCUGGAUACCACUGCUGUUAUGUUUGCUAAAUGUUACAAUGCUAAUGGAGCUCUGCUCGUUUCACGUAUCUUGACAAUAUGAAAUACUGGCCUCCUAAGUGUAGAUUUUCCAAGGUAUUUAGCCGUUCCGCUCUCCUUGGACUAAUGGACAUCUUGUUAAAGCUGUCAGACUUCAUUUCUGGUUUGGCAGAUGCCGUGAUCUUAUGGUGGAGCAGAGAGGUGGCCCUGUGUUUACUUUUAACACCGUCAACUAGCCUCUGGAUUCCAGGGGCUUGCCGCUAAUAGAAAUGUAAUCAUAUUUUGCUGUGCAGAAUAUAAACCCAUCCAUCUUAUUAUGUAAAAGCGGUCUGUUGAGUACACCAGCAGCAGUUUUAACAGCUGAUUGCUUGUUGUCAUUCUCACGAGUGAAGUUUUACAAGACGGUUUGGUUUAAGAGCAGCACAGAAGGGAAAAUCGUAUCUUUGGGGUGCGCUCUGCGUGAAACGGCCUCCUUGCACGUGGGAUAUUGGAGAAUGAGGUACGUGUUAUGCACUUAAAAUAGAGCCCUUUAAAACUGGCACGGGAUACUCAGUCUUGUCUGAGUAUCAUUAAUCACGGUUAUGACUCUCAGACAAAACGAACCUCGACUUCAU